rnacentral:tRNA from 1 species
CUGGAUGUAGCUCAGCUUGGUAGAGCGCUGGCCUUGGGUGCCAGGGGUCGGAGGUUCGAAUCCUCUCAUCCAGACCA